rnacentral:rRNA from 1 species
AACGAACGCUGGCGGCAUGCCUAACACAUGCAAGUCGAACGAGAUCUUCGGGUCUAGUGGCGCACGGGUGCGUAACGCGUGGGAAUCUGCCCUUUGGUUCGGAAUAACAGUUGGAAACGACUGCUAAUACCGGAUGAUGACGAAAGUCCAAAGAUUUAUCGCCAGAGGAUGAGCCCGCGUAGGAUUAGCUAGUUGGUAUGGUAAAGGCGCACCAAGGCGACGAUCCUUAGCUGGUCUGAGAGGAUGAUCAGCCACACUGGGACUGAGACACGGCCCAGGCUCCUACGGGAGGCAGCAGUGGGGAAUAUUGGACAAUGGGCGAAAGCCUGAUCCAGCAAUGCCGCGUGAGUGAUGAAGGCCUUAGGGUUGUAAAGCUCUUUUACCCGGGAUGAUAAUGACAGUACCGGGAGAAUAAGCUCCGGCUAACUCCGUGCCAGCAGCCGCCGUAA